rnacentral:rRNA from 1 species
GACGAACGCUGGCGGCGUGCCUAAUACAUGCAAGUUGAGCGCUGAAGGUUGGUACUUGUACCAACUGGAUGAGCAGCGAACGGGUGAGUAACGCGUGGGGAAUCUGCCUUUGAGCGGGGGACAACAUUUGGAAACGAAUGCUAAUACCGCAUAAAAACUUUAAACACAAGUUUUAAGUUUGAAAGAUGCUAUUGCAUCACUCAAAGAUGAUCCCGCGUUGUAUUAGCUAGUUGGUGAGGUAAAGGCUCACCAAGGCGAUGAUACAUAGCCGACCUGAGAGGGUGAUCGGCCACAUUGGGACUGAGAAACGGCCCAAACUCCUACGGGAGGCAGCAGGAGGGAAUCUUCGGCAAUGGAGGAAAGUCUGACCGAGCAACGCCGCGUGAGUGAAGAAGGUUUUCGGAUCGUAAAACUCUGUUGGUAGAGAAGAACGUUGGGGAGAGUGGAAAGCUCAUCAAGUGACGGUAACUACCCAGAAAGGGACGGCUAACUACGUG